GAUGAGCCUGCGUCUGAUUAGCUAGUUGGCGGGGUAACGGCCCACCAAGGCAACGAUCAGUAGCUGGUCUGAGAGGAUGAUCAGCCACACUGGAACUGAGACACGGUCCAGACUCCUACGGGAGGCAGCAGUAAGGAAUAUUGCUCAAUGGCCGAAAGGCUGAAGCAGCAACGCCGCGUGAGGGAUGAAGGCCUUUUGGUUGUAAACCUCUGUAGAGAGGGAAAAAUUCUCCAUUCUAUGGAGCAUGAUUGUACCUCUAGAGUAAGCCUCGGCUAACUACGUGCCAGCAGCCGCGGUAAUACGUAGGAGGCGAGCGUUGUCCGGAUUUACUGGGUGUAAAGGGUGCUCAGGCGGUCUUAUAAGUCAGAGGUGAAAUCCCAGAGCUUAACUCUGGAACUGCCUUUGAUACUGUAAGGCUUGAGUAUGGAAGAGGUUGAUGGAAUUUCGGGUGUAGCAGUGAAAUGCGUAGAUAUCCGAAAGAACACCAGUGGCGAAGGCGGUCAACUGGUCCAUUACUGACGCUAAAGCACGAAAGCGUGGGGAGCAAACAGGAUUAGAU
rnacentral:rRNA from 1 species